rnacentral:rRNA from 1 species
AACGAACGCUGGCGGCAGGCCUAACACAUGCAAGUCGAGCGAGGACUUCGGUUCUAGCGGCGGACGGGUGAGUAACGCGUGGGAAUGUGCCCUUCUCUACGGAAUAGCCCUGGGAAACUGGGAGUAAUACCGUAUACGCCCUAUUGGGGAAAGAUUGAUCGGAGAAGGAUCAGCCCGCGUUGGAUUAGGUAGUUGGUGGGGUAAUGGCCUACCAAGCCGUCGAUCCAUAGCUGGUUUGAGAGGAUGAUCAGCCACACUGGGACUGAGACACGGCCCAGACUCCUACGGGAGGCAGCAGUGGAGAAUCUUAGACAAUGGGGGCAAACCUGAUCUAGCCAUGCCGCGUGAGUGAUGAAGGCCUUAGGGUUGUAAAGCUCUUUCAGCUGGGAAGAUAAUGACGGUACCAGCAGAAGAAGCCCCGGCUAACUCCGUG